CUGCUUCACUAGGAGACCUUUAGCCAGUGAAGGAGAGGAGAUGUCAGAGGCGUGGCCAUGUGAAAGGUCUUGCACCUGCCACCUAUCUUGGCGGUGAGAGGUGCCCUCCGUAAAAUUUCUGGGUGAGACCAGUCCUAGCCGUGGCCCUCAGCUUACUUAAGAAUUUUCUUUGAUUCUCCAAAGUGCCUGCGCCUUGAAUGCCUGCAGAUCCUACUUAAAUUGAUAUUUGUCGUUUAAUCCAAGCGACCAAGUGCCCUCAGAUAGCACGUGGAGAUGUGGAAUUGCUCACUGUGCAUCCAGUGCCCCAGCGUGGAGGAUCCGAACCCAACAGUCUGGACGCUCCAAGGCUCCAGCGCCUGUUGAGCGCGCGCCUUCCAACGGUCAUCAAGAAACACCAACGCCCUCCAGCAAACCAGGAGUCAUGCCAAGUUUCUUUGAUGACCGGGUCCCAGCUUCGCGGCACACAUCCUGUUUUUGAUAAAGCACUGCCGCCUAGAGACACUAAGGAAAGUGAACGCUGCAGUACUGCGGUGCUUGCAGCAGAACCCAGGCACGGUCAAAGAUGAUGGGGGAGCUGUCUAGGGAGGAGGCUGCUGGGGCUCCACUGGGUUGGGCUCUGGUUUCCCAGACCCUCCUGAAAUUCUGUGCUAAUGCUUUAUGUAAAUGAUUAAAUUCCCAGGACAAAGCCAUAAGGCUAAUUCAUAAAUCACCUUGAGGACAAGAAAAACUAACUACAAAUUCUGCCAACUGAAAGGACUAUUUAAGUCUUUACCUUCAAGAAAGCCCACACGAAGCCUCAUGAUGGACAUUAGAUGUAAAUAUAAACAUGCAUCUUUUAUUGAAAAUUAAUUUUUCAUAUAAUACAUUCUGAUUUCAGUUUCCCCUCCCCCAACUCCCACAAACUCCUUCCCAGUUACUCUCCUACUAAGAUGCACACCCUGCUGUCUUCCUUAGAAAACAAACAAAUAUCUAAAUAAUAAUAAUAGAUCAGAUAUGAUAAAAACAAAUUGGAAUGGGACAAAACAGAAGAAAAAAAUCCAAAUAAAAAGCACAAGACACAUAUAUAAUGUAGAGAUAAGCACAUUCCUACAUACAGGAAUCCCAUAAAAACACAAAGUGUGGAAUAUUUAUUCAAAGACCUGUAAAGUUUUAAGAUAUAUUGUCACAAAACAUGAUUAUGAGAUAAAGUACCUCCAAAAAUGACAUUGGGUUGUGUUGGUGCCCACUCCAGGGUACAGGCAUUGUUAACUUGAAUUCUUUCACCAUCCCUUAGUUAAUUGUCUAAGUGUGAGUCAACCUGAACUGAUUUCCCAAAGAACCAAUUCUUUGUUCUAUUGAUACUUUGUACAUGUUGUUUCCAUUUUAUUGAUUUCAACCCUGAGUUUGGUCAUUUAUUGCCAUCUUCUCCUUUCAGGUGCUAUUUCUUUUUAUUCUAGAGCUUUCGGUCCUAUUAAGUUACUAAUAGGAAUUUGGUUUGUUUGUUUUUGUUCUGUUUUUUUUUUUAUGUAAGUACUUAGUGCCUUUGACCUGAGUUUCUUAUGCUUCCUUUAUUCCUAUUAUUCUUAUUCUUUUUUAGAGUUCAGAUUUUCUCUGAUUGAAAUAUCCAUUUCUUGUAUCUUACCUCCAUUGCUUAAGGGUUUCUCUUCCUUCCCGGGUGUUCUGUCAUUGCAGCUUGCUUGCCUCUAAGGAUCUGGUUUCACUUCCUACAUUUUUCAUUUCCUAUUUCCCAUCAGUUUUGGUUUUCUUCAUUGAUUCUUUUUUCACUGAUAGGUCUUGAACAUUUUUUAUUUCAUUCUACUCUCUGUG
ensembl:lncRNA